UACGUAGGGUGCGAGCGUUGUCCGGAAUUAUUGGGCGUAAAAGGGCUCGUAGGCGGUCUGUUGCGUCAGGAGUGAAAAACUCGGGGCUUAACCCCGAGCCUGCUUCUGAUACGGGCAGACUAGAGGUAUGCAGGGGAGAACGGAAUUCCUGGUGUAGCGGUGAAAAUGCGCAGAUAUCAGGAGGAACACCGGUGGCGAAGGCGGUUCUCUGGGCAUUACCUGACGCUGAGGAGCGAAAGUGUGGGGAGCGAACAGG
rnacentral:rRNA from 1 species